UUGCGAUUGUGUAGGCUACUUUGUGCAUGAUUUCUCUAUUGUACUACAUAAUUGAUAACUCGUAUACCUCCACCACAGUACCUUGAAGUACCUUUUAUAAAGGCUAUUAAGAUACGAAUGUUUCAAGAAAGGAGUGAAUAUAUUUGGUCUGGCGAAGCGGUUUUAUACGCUGACUGAAUGGAAGCUGAUAAUUGAGUUUUUUUACUCUGCUGGUCUCGGGAAGAAAUUACGAGUCCUCACUGUCCGAGAGUCAAGACCGAGUACAAAUGUAUCCAACACCAAGACAAGACCGCAACACUCAAUAAUAUGGUCUCGAGACUGGAAUUCUCGGUCUCGAGUACUACAACACUGGAGCGGUGCUUCCAGUAGGCGGCCUCCUCCUGGGUGAGUAUUUCAUCGAGCACCUGAGCAGCAUGGUAGUAGUCCAGGUGGGUGGCGGUAGUAUCCGGGCUGGGAAUCUGGUGCCUCAAGCCGGGGUGUUCCAGGCUCUACUGGACAGCCAGACUCUGGUUGCCCGUAUCCACCUGGUGGAGCUUCUGCAUGGGCUCAGAGAGGACUGGGGCUCUGGGGAGAUGGGUUUGCAGGGUCUGCAGGCCCAGAGGAAGGAGACUGAGCUGGGACGGAUCCAGGCUGCAGCCAAGGAGAAGGAGCAGGCCUGGGGGAAGGUGCUACACUGUCACCUGCAGCUGCUGAGCCGGCUGGAGACCCUGCUGGACUGGGCCUGGGGCAUUGCCCAGGAUGGUAGCAUCCAAGGACUGGUUGCGAUUAGUUUCGGGGCCCUGACAGUGGACCCUGUAACAGGGGUGCUGGCUCCUGUUGUGGAGGUUUUCCUGGAUGUGUCCAGACAGACUGCCGUACCUGUUACUGCUUCAUACUGCCUGGCUCUGGGAGAUAAUCCUGACAGUGUGCUGAUAAGGAAGGUGGAGGCCCUGCAAGAUGAGUGGUGUCUGAGGAGCAGGUACUGGAAGCAGGAGAAACAGAAGGAGGAGGAGCUGCUAGGAGAUCUGGAGUCUCCUUGUGGCCACUCAAGAGGACUCUGAGCAGGUAAACUGAACUAGGCUGCAGGGCAGGCAGAUGGAUGGGGCUGCACAGUCCUCAACAAACAGGAAAGGAUUUCUCUUAUGCUGAGUUGUUUGAAUGCAUACAUGUCAUUUUGAUUUACGUUAAUAUCCCUAGUGGCAUUACUGUAUAAUGGAGACCCCUAUACAUUGUGUUUGUGUGUGCACAUGCCUGUAUGUGUGUGAGUUUGUGUGUGUGUGUGCACUGUAGGCCCACUGGGUGGACAGAGAGGAAGCUGAGGGUGGCUGCAGCGGAGCUUCAGGAGACUGACCAGUCAGAAUCCCAGAGGAGAGUGUCCCAGCUCUCAGACCUGUCUCUGCUCCUGCCGCCUCACGUUCUGCUUGUCGUCACUCAAGGUGAUGAUAAGGAGUGGGAGCAGCACUGCUGCUGGCAGACAAAGCUGGUGGCUGGCCUGGACAGGGUGAACGUGUUUGCAGAGAAACUGCAGCAGGACCAGGAAAGAUGAGAGGAGAGCAGACGGAGAGCACAGAGAGGAGAGCACAGAGAGGAGAGGAGACGGCAUCAAUCUAUGUCAUGGAUAGGAAAGUAAGACAGAGAAAUAUGGGAGCAGCUAAUCUCCAGGCAGAAAUACUCUGCCAGGUCUGCGCAGAUAUAGUGCAGGCGGACUAUGAAGUGAAUGACGAAAUUACACAACAAAAAUGCAACCAAAAGGCCAAACCCGGAACACUCAACUUUAGUUUCAUCUGUCCACAUAUUUUGCCAGAAACGCUGUGGAACAUCCAAUUGCACUUUUGUAAACUUCAGACGUGAAGCAAUGUUUUUUUUGGACAGCAGGGGCUUCUUCCAUGGUGUCCUCCCAUGAACACCAUUCUUGCUUAGGGUUUUACGUAUCGUAGACUCGUCAACAGAGAUGUUAGCAUGUUCCAGAGAUUUCUGCAAGUCUUUAGCUGACACUCUAGGAUUCUUCUUAACCUCAUUGAGCAUUCAAGCAACAGUGCUGAACUUUCUCCAUUUAUAGACAAUUUGUCUCACUCUUACCGUGGACUGAUGAGCAUCAAGGCUUUUAGAGAUACUUUUAUAACCUUUUCCAGCUUUAUGCAAGUCAACAAUUCUUCAUCUUAGGUCUUCUGAGAUCUCUUUUGUUCGAGGCAUGGUUCACAUCAGGCAAUGCUUCUUGUGAAUAGCAAACUGUUUUUUAUAGGGCAAGGCAGUUCUAACCAACAUCUCCAAUUUCGUCUCAUUGAUUGGACUCCAGGUUAGCUGACUCCUGGCUCCAAUUACCUUUUGGAGAAGUCAUUAGUCUAGGGGGUUCACAUACUUUUUCCAAAUGUUUAAAUGAUGUAUUCAAUAUAGACAAGAAAAAUACAAUAAUUUGUGUGUUAUUAGUUUAAGCACACUAUGUUUGUCUAUUGUUGUGACUUAGAUGAAGAUCAGAUCAAAUUUGAUGACCAAUUUAUGCAGAAAUCCAGGUAAUUCCAAAGGUUUCACAUACGUUUUGAUUGAGGUAGUAUGAGGUAAUAUGUACAUGUAGAUAUGAUUAAAGUGACUAUGCAUAUAUGAUGAACAGAGAGUAGGUGUAGCGUAAAAGAGGGGUUGGUGGGUGGGACACAAUGCAGAUAGCCCGGUUAGCCAAUGUGCGGGAGAACUGGUUUGAGUUUGAGGUUAUUUUAUUUUUACAGGGACAGUGCACAUUAAUCAACUUUUCAGUAAAAGUGCUGGUUUUAGCCAGCCGGCUAAUUUUCAACCGCAGUUCCUGGGCAGGUUAUUGAAAACAAUUACAAUACAGACAAUCAAUGAGCAGUGAGCACACACAGAGCAACAUCAGACAAGCAAGAUGUAGCAUACAGACAGAGCAACAUAGAACAAAAAGCAACAAGACAAAAUCCAUAAAAGCAACAAAGUGUUUCCACACCUCACAAACUACAGACAACAGACAACAUGGAAAGCGGCAAUACACAGCUAGGGAUUAUGUUCACAAAUCUGAUUGACCUUUAGCCAUGUCUUCAUGCAUUUUGUGAAAGUGUAAUAUGUGGUGCAGUUAUGUGUGUCUGAUGGAAGUGUCUUCCAGACAUGGGAAGCUCUCACAGGGAACUAUACAGUCACCUCUCAUGGCAGACCUUGUGGAUCUGCUGCCAUAUGUUUGGGUUUUCUGUUUAACAAAAAUACUGAGUGGAGGGGGAGCCAGGCCAUUUAGGAUCUUGAAUACAAGACAUGCGUUGGUGUACUGCACAAGAUUUUCCCAACUCAUGAGCUCAUGCUUUCUGAGGAUGUAACAGUGAAGAUGGCUAUUGGGCUUCCUAUCAAGCACUUAGAGAGCCUGUUUGUAGACAGACUGAAUAGGUUUUAAUGUUGUACAGCAAGCUUGGGCCCAACUAGUCAAGCAGUAUGUUAAGUGGGGGAGUAUCAUAGAUUUGAAGUACAGUUUUGCUACCUCUGGAGCAAACAAUUUCGUAUAAAUCGGAAAAUAGCUAGGUUGAAUUUGGAUAUUUGAAUGACCUUUUUCACAUGCUUUUUAAAAGAGAGGUUGGAAUCAAGUAUGAUGCCAAGGUACUUAAAAUCAGACACCACCUGGAGCUUCUCCCCUGACACAUAGACAUCUGGCUCAGUAGCAUCUGUUGCCCUCUUUGUGAAGAACAUGCAAACAGUUUUUUUCACAUUGAGAUGCAAACACGAGUCACUGAGCCAUUUUGUAACCUGGACCAUUACAGUAGUGAGUUCUUGUGCAGCUUGUUGUUUGCUCUUUGCAUGCACAUAUAUCACUGUAUCAUCUGCAUACAGGUCCCGUGUGGCUCAGUUGGUAGAGCAUGGUGUUUGCAAUGCCAGGGUUGUGGGUUCGUUUCCCACGGGGGACCAGUAUGGAGAAGAAAAAAAAUGUUUGAAAUGUAUGCAUUCGCUACUGUAAGUCGCUCUGGAUAAGAGCGUCUGCUAAAUGUAAAAUGUACAUUUGAACUUCAGACAGAGGGCAGAUCAUUAAUGUACAGGCUGAACAGGAGGGGCCCCAGUAUUGACCCUUGGGGUACGCCCACAUCAUAGCUAAGAGUGGGCGACAGCUCAUUGCUCACUCUGACACACUGAGUUUUGCCUUAAAGGUAUGAUUUCAUCCAUCUCAAGGCAUUGGGGGAAAAGUUGAACUCGGGACAAUUUUGUGAUGAGAAUCUCAUGGUUAACAGUAUCAAAAGCCUUCCUUAGGUCCAGAAACACAGCCCCAACAACGCCCCCUUUGUCCAUCUUGGACUUCACAUUUUCCAGAAGAAAGCAGUUGGCCGUUUCUGUGGAGUGUUUCGCUCUGAAGCCAAACUGCAUGGAGUGUAAUGUGAAGGGGCUGUUGUUGAGGUGGGCAAUCAGUUGUUCUGCUACACACUUUAACAACCUUCGACACCACAGGUAGUACACUAAUGGGCCUGUAGUUACUCACGUCAGCAGGGUCGCCCGAUUUAAAGAUGGCCGUUAUUAUGGCCGACUUCCAUACCCUUAGAAACACCCCCAGACCAAUAGAUGUGUUGGUGACCUUAGUAAUGGGGCCAAUGUGUGACUCUUUGUAGUUUUUAAGAAAGGUAGAGUCCAGCCCAAACACAUCUUUGGAUUUAGAGUUCUUUAGUGAGCUAAUCACCUUGUUCACCUGUGUCAGUACCCUGACAGAGUCAAUAAAGUAGGAAUUGAAGGCUAUUGCUAUUUCGACUGCAUCCUGUGUUAGAUUGUUAUUCACCAUGAUUUCAAGUCUUUUUGCAGUGUUACUAUUUAUUUAUUUAACCUUUAUUUAACCAGGUAGGCAAGUUGAGAACAAGUUCUCAUUUACAAUUGCGACCUGGCCAAGAUAAAGCAAAGCAGUUUGACACAUACAACAACACAAAGUUACACAUGGAGUAAAACAAACAUGCAGUCAAUAAUAUAGUAGAAAAAUAAGUCUAUAUACAAAGUGAGCAAAUUAGGAGAUAAGGGAGGUAAAGGCAAAAAAGGCCAUGGUGGCUAAGUAAAUACAAUAUUGCAAGUAAAACACUGGAAUAGUAGAUUUGCAGUGGAAGAAAGUGCAAAGUAGAAAUAUAAAUAAUGGGGUGCAAAGGAGCAAAAUAAAUACAGUAGGGGAAGAGGUAGUUGUUUGGGCAAAAUUAUAGAUGGGCUUUCCUUGUUAACUUUUUUUUAGAUUCUCCCAGAUCAAUUUAGAAUUUCCCUUUGCCUCACCAAUUAUGUUAAUAAAAAAGUUUGCCUUGGCCUGUCUGAUUUCUUUCAUCACCUUAUUUCUCAACAUGGUAAACCUACGUCUGUCAUGCUCUAAUUUGGUCGGCCCAAUUGAGGUAGUAUGUCCAUGAAUGUAUAGUUAAAGUGACUAUGCAUAUAUGAUAAACAGAGAGUAGCAGCAGCGUAAAAAGAGGGGUUGGGACGGCACACAAUGCAAAUAGUCCGGGUAGCCAUUUGAUUACCUGUUCAGGAGUCUUAUGGCUUGGGGGUAAAAACUGUUGAGAAGCCUUUUUGUCUUAGACUUGGCACUCCGGUACCGCUUGCCAUGCGGUACUAGAGAGAACAGUCUAUGGCUGGGGUGGUUGGGGUCUUUGACAAUUUUUAGGGCCUUCCUCUGACACCGCCUGGUGUAGAGGUCCUGGAUGGCAGGCAGCUUAGCUCCAGUGAUGUACUGGGCCGUACGCACUACCCUCUGUAGUGCCUUGCGGUCAG
rnacentral:lncRNA from 1 species